rnacentral:rRNA from 1 species
GCGUGCCUAAUACUGCAAGUAGAACGCUGACUACUUUAGCUUGCUAGAGUAGAAGGAGUUGCGAACGGGUGAGUAACGCGUAGGUAACCUGCCUACUAGCGGGGGAUAACUAUUGGAAACGAUAGCUAAUACCGCAUAACAGUGUUUAACACAUGUUAGAUGCUUGAAAGAUGCAAAUGCAUCACUAGUAGAUGGACCUGCGUUGUAUUAGCUAGUUGGUGGGGUAACGGCCUACCAAGGCGACGAUACAUAGCCGACCUGAGAGGGUGAUCGGCCACACUGGGACUGAGACACGGCCCAGACUCCUACGGGAGGCAGCAGUAGGGAAUCUUCGGCAAUGGGGGCAACCCUGACCGAGCAACGCCGCGUGAGUGAAGAAGGUUUUCGGAUCGUAAAGCUCUGUUGUAAGAGAAGAACGUGUGUGAGAGUGGAAAGUUCACACAGUGACGGUAACUUACCAGAAAGGGACGGCUAACUACGUGCCAGCAGCCGCGGUAAUACGUAGGUCCCGAGCGUUGUCCGGAUUUAUUGGGCGUAAAGCGAGCGCAGGCGGUUUAAUAAGUCUGAAGUUAAAGGCAGUGGCUUAACCAUUGUUCGCUUUGGAAACUGUUAAACUUGAGUGCAGAAGGGGAGAGUGGAAUUCCAUGUGUAGCGGUGAAAUGCGUAGAUAUAUGGAGGAACACCGGUGGCGAAAGCGGCUCUCUGGUCUGUAACUGACGCUGAGGCU